CCCAGACUCCUACGGGAGGCAGCAGUGGGGAAUAUUGGGCAAUGGGCGCAAGCCUGACCCAGCAACGCCGCGUGAAGGAAGAAGGCCCUCGGGUUGUAAACUUCUUUUAUCAAGGACGAAACAAAUGACGGUACUUGAUGAAUAAGCCACGGCUAACUACGUGCCAGCAGCCGCGGUAAUACGUAGGUGGCAAGCGUUGUCCGGAUUUACUGGGUGUAAAGGGCGUGCAGCCGGGAAGACAAGUCAGAUGUGAAAUCCCGCGGCUCAACCGCGGAACUGCAUUUGAAACUGUUUUUCUUGAGUACCGGAGAGGUCAUCGGAAUUCCUUGUGUAGCGGUGAAAUGCGUAGAUAUAAGGAAGAACACCAGUGGCGAAGGCGGAUGACUGGACGGCAACUGACGGUGAGGCGCGAAAGCGUGGGGAGCAAACAGGAUUAGAUACCCCAGUAAGA
rnacentral:rRNA from 1 species